AAGGGAAGCCAUAUCACCCUGUAGCCCAAGACUGGUUGCCCACUGAAGCCAAGCAGGGUUGAGCCUGGUUAGUACCUGGAUGGGAGACCUCCUGGGAAAACUAGGUUGCUGCUGGAA
ensembl:rRNA 5S_rRNA 5S ribosomal RNA